GCUGAAUUUAAGCAUAUCACUAAGCGGAGGAAAAGAAACUUACCAGGAUUCCCCUAGUAACGGCGAGCGAACCGGGAAGAGCCCAGCAUGAAAAUCGGCGGCUUCGCCUGUCGAAUUGUAGUCUGUAGAAGCGUCCUCAGCGACGGACCGGGCCCAAGUCCCUUGGAAGGGGGCGCCGGAGAGGGUGAGAGCCCCGUCGGGCCCGGACCCUGCCGCACCACGAGGCGCUGUCGGCGAGUCGGGUUGUUUGGGAAUGCAGCCCUAAUCGGGUGGUAAAUUCCGUCCAAGGCUAAAUACGGGCGAGAGACCGAUAGCGAACAAGUACCGCGAGGGAAAGAGUGAAAAGGACUUUGAAAAGAGAGUUAAACAGUGCUUGAAAUUGCCGGGAGGGAAGCGGAUGGAGGCCGGCGAUGCGCCCCGGUCGGAUGCGGAACGGCGUGAGCCGGUCCGCCGCUCGGCUCGGGGGGCGUGCCAGCGCGGGCCGUUGCGGCGGCACAAGCGCGGCCUUCUGGCCGCACUGUACCUCCGUCGCGGCGGCCGAGGAGCGAAGCGCCGCGUACGGCGGGCCCUCGGGCACCUGCGCGCUCGUGGCGCUGGCCAGCGGGCUUUCCAUUCGACCCGUCUUGAAACACGGACCAAGGAA
rnacentral:rRNA from 1 species